GUUCAUGAAUACUAAGUACAGAAACAAAUAUGCAGUGAAGCUUUUGCUUAAGAUCUUAUUUUUUUAUUCUUUGAUAUUCUUUUUUUUUUUUCAUGGAUCUUGAUACCCACAUGCCACCUGCCUGGUUGGAGCCUUGAAUUCUGACCAAGUCUGUAUGGACUUAACUCUUUUAUGAACAGCAGGUUGGUGACUGUCAGAAUCUGGAGGUGGUAGGUAAGCACGCUCAGACACCUCACUCCAUUUCUCACAGCCUCUGAUUAUGUUCCCGAGUAGAUGUAGCCAGUAAUUCUGCAGAAGGGAACACACCACAGGGGGCUCAUUUCUGGGAUGUGGGGACAGUCUGCCUUGCAGGGCUGCUCUGUGGAUAGGUUAAAGAAGUGGAUUUCCAGAGAAGGCAGUUUCAAAAAGUAAUUACUUAAUGGUUGGGUUCUUUAGAGAAUUAAAAGCGUGUGCCUCAGACUUCAGAGCAGGAGGUAUCCAGUUCCCAGUCUGUUAUUUAAUAACAGAGAUAUUGCUGCUGUCAAAAAGGCAGUGUUCUGCAAUGUUCUUAUUUUUAUAGCUCAAAGAAGAAUGUUUUAUUCCACAGAAUAUGGGGCAUCCAAGCAUUUAAAGGCUAAUUAAUCUCUGCAUUUC
rnacentral:lncRNA from 1 species